AUUGAACGCUGGCGGAAUGCUUUACACAUGCAAGUCGAGCGGCAGCGCGGGGCAACCUGGCGGCGAGCGGCGAACGGGUGAGUAAUGCAUCGGAACAUGUCCAGUCGUGGGGGAUAGCCCGCCGAAAGGCGGAUUAAUACCGCAUACGCCCGGGAGGGGAAAGCGGGGGACCUGAAAGGGCCUUGGGCGAUUGGGUUGGCCGAUGUCCGAUUAGCUAGUUGGCGGGGUAAAGGCGCACCAAGGCGAUGAUCGGUAGCUGGUCUGAGAGGAUGAUCAGCCACACUGGGACUGAGACACGGCCCAGACUCCUACGGGAGGCAGCAGUGGGGAAUUUUGGACAAUGGGGGCAACCCUGAUCCAGCCAUUCCGCGUGAGUGAAGAAGACCUUCGGGUUGUAAAGCUCUUUUGUCCGGAGCGAAACGGUUGUGGUGAACAGCCACGACUACUGACGGUACCGGAAGAAUAAGCACCGGCUAACUACGUGCCAGCCGCCGCAGUAA
rnacentral:rRNA from 1 species